AUUGAACGCUGGCGGCAUGCCUUACACAUGCAAGUCGAACGGCAGCACGGACUUCGGUCUGGUGGCGAGUGGCGAACGGGUGAGUAAUACAUCGGAACGUGCCUAGUAGUGGGGGAUAACUACUCGAAAGAGUGGCUAAUACCGCAUGAGAUCUACGGAUGAAAGCAGGGGAUCGCAAGACCUUGUGCUACUAGAGCGGCCGAUGGCAGAUUAGGUAGUUGGUGGGGUAACGGCCUACCAAGGCAACGAUGGGUAGCCGAUCUGAGAGGAUGAUCGGCCACACUGGAACUGAAACACGGUCCAG
rnacentral:rRNA from 1 species